rnacentral:pre_miRNA from 37 species
CGGAGAUCCUGCUCCGUCGCCCCAGUGUUCAGACUACCUGUUCAGGACAAUGCUGUUGUACAGUAGUCUGCACAUUGGUUAGACUGGGCAAGGGAAAGCA